AAGAAAAUAGUUAAAUUUAUAACAUUUAAUUUGCAUUUAAAAAUUAUUGAUUUAAAAUUUAUCAAUAUUCUUA
rnacentral:tRNA from 1 species